CCUACGGGAGGCAGCAGUGGGGGAUAUUGCGCAAUGGGCGAAAGCCUGACGCAGCGACGCCGCGUGAGGGAUGACGGUCUUCGGAUUGUAAACCUCUGUCAGCAGUGAAGAACGUGCACUGUGCUAAUCAGCAGUGAAUUGCCGGUUACUGCAAAGGAAGCACCGGCUAACUCCGUGACAGCAGCCGCGGUAAUACGGAGGGUGCGAGCGUUAGUCGGAUUUACUGGGCGUAAAGCGCGCGUAGGCGGUUUGGCAAGUCAAGGGUGAAAUCCCCGCGCUCAACGUGGGAACUGCCUUUGAAACUGGCGAACUUGAGUGUGUGAGAGGUUAGUGGAAUUCCAGGUGUAGGGGUGAAAUGCGUAGAGAUCUGGAGGAACAUCAGUGGCGAAGGCGACUAUCUGGCACAUAACUGACGCUGAGGAGCGAAAGCGUGGGUAGCAAACAGGAUUAGAUACCCGUGUAGUC
rnacentral:rRNA from 1 species